rnacentral:rRNA from 1 species
GACGAACGCUGGCGGCGUGCUUAACACAUGCCAGUCGAACGGAAAGGCCCUGCUUUUGUGGGGUGCUCGAGUGGCGAACGGGUGAGUAACACGUGAGUAACCUGCCCUUGACUUUGGGAUAACUUCAGGAAACUGGGGCUAAUACCGGAUAGGAGCUCCUGCUGCAUGGUGGGGGUUGGAAAGUUUCGGCGGUUGGGGAUGGACUCGCGGCUUAUCAGCUUGUUGGUGGGGUAGUGGCUUACCAAGGCUUUGACGGGUAGCCGGCCUGAGAGGGUGACCGGCCACAUUGGGACUGAGAUACGGCCCAGACUCCUACGGUAGGCAGCAGUGGGGAAUAUUGCACAAUGGGCGGAAGCCUGAUGCAGCAACGCCGCGUGCGGGAUGACGGCCUUCGGGUUGUAACCCGAUUUCGCCUGUGCCGAAGCGUGAGUGACGGUAAUGGGUAAAGAAGCACCGGCUAACUACGUG